rnacentral:rRNA from 1 species
AUGAUUUGCAUUAGUUGGAACUGCCGGGGGCUUGGGAACCCUAAGGCAGUUCGAGAGCUUCAUCGUCUGGUGAAGCAGGAAGGUCCUGCCCUGCUAUUUGUAAUGGAAACUAAAAUCAGGGCUAAACGAGUUGAAGACCUACGAUAUCAGCUUGGUUUUUCAGGAUGUUUCACGGUUGACAACAUUGGGUUAAGUGGUGGAAUUGGACUGUAUUGGUCCAAGGACAUGGAUGUUACAUUGCAAAACUACAACAAGAGUCACAUUGAUGCAUCGGUGAAAGUCAGAGAUCAAGCCGCCUCGGAGUGGCGAUUUACUGGAUUUUACGGUGCACCGCGGGUCGAAGAUAGGCAUCAUAGCUGGCGCUUUCUUCGGACCUUACAUACCCUGCCCCAUUCUUUGUGGUGUGUGAUUUUAACGAGACACUAUUUGGUGACGAGCACUUCAGCAAGACGGCCCGACCGGAAUGGCAAAUGA